UAUGCAGCCAGCACACUGGCGCCAGGGACGAUGAGUGAUUCAGGAAGAUCGCCUCACAGACUCGCCUGGUGCCGUCUCGCCCGUCUCACCGUCUUUACGAGGUACUUCUUGGGAAAAACAAGUGAGCAACUUGCACUGUACAGGUGUUUUCAAAAGAUUAAGGCUCUGCCAACUGCUGCUGUGGACAAGUGCUGGACAAAGACAAGGCUGAGGGGAAGAGGAAAUUAAAUGUGUGCUGUUUUGAGGGACGGGGCGCUGGAGACAACACACUGGGCGGACUUCUGACCACUGAAGGGUCAGCACACACAAGUAGGGGGCCAAGCUUUAGGCUUGGGGGUCCAUAGAGUGUCUCCCC